GGACCGGCAGCACGAUGGUGCGUGCAGCGAUCUUACAAGUCGUUGACUGUGCGUUCAAGUCGCACCCGGUCCA
rnacentral:tRNA from 1 species